rnacentral:rRNA from 1 species
AACGAACGCUGGCGGCAUGCCUAACACAUGCAAGUCGAACGAGACCUUCGGGUCUAGUGGCGCACGGGUGCGUAACGCGUGGGAACCUGCCCUUAGGUUCGGAAUAACUCCCCGAAAGGGGUGCUAAUACCGGAUAAUGUCUUCGGACCAAAGAUUUAUCGCCUUUGGAUGGGCCCGCGUUGGAUUAGCUAGUUGGUAGGGUAAAAGCCUACCAAGGCGACGAUCCAUAGCUGGGCUGAGAGGAUGAUCAGCCACACUGGGACUGAGACACGGCCCAGACUCCUACGGGAGGCAGCAGUGGGGAAUAUUGGACAAUGGGCGAAAGCCUGAUCCAGCAAUGGCGCGUGAGUGAUGAAGGCCGUAGGGUUGUAAAGCUCUUUUACCCGGGAUGAUAAUGACAGUACCGGGAGAAUAAGCUCCGGCUAACUCCGUG